UACGUAGGAUGCGAGCGUUAUCCGGAUUUAUUGGGUUUAAAGGGUGCGUAGGCGGAUCGUUAAGUCAGUGGUCAAAUUGAGGGGCUCAACCCCUUCCCGCCAUUGAAACUGGCGAUCUUGAGUGGAAGAGAAGUAUGCGGAAUGCGUGGUGUAGCAGUGAAAUGCAUAGAUAUCACGCAGAACCCCGAUUGCGAAGGCAGCAUGCCGGCUUCCGACUGACGCUGAAGCACGAAAGCGUGGGGAUCGAACAGG
rnacentral:rRNA from 1 species